rnacentral:lncRNA from 1 species
AGGGAAGUAAUAUAGGCUGAGGGGAGGCUCUUGGCUAGUAAAAGGAUCAAAGGGCCACUCCUCCACCUCUAUUGAGAAAGGCCAGGGGGCAAGGCAAGGGCAAGCUGGGUGGGUGGAAGGGGUUACCUACUGGCAGAAGUGCCUGUGCUCUCUGUGGUCUGUCUGCCCUUUGUGCUGGAGGUCAGGGGCAGUAGAGCUGGGCUCUGCCCUGGUGGGAACUCUCAGUCACUGCUUAUUCUCCACCCUACCAAGUACUAGUCAGAACGAGACUAGAGGGCUGCUGUGCACCCUAAAUUUCCUUUCUCUCAGACCUCAGAGGCCCCUGAUGCUACCCUCCACAGGUUAGACCCAGCCCAGUCCAGCAUCAAAGACAUUCCUCUUGUUUCCCUAGGAUGGUGGAAUCCUGCUCAGCAACCUCUCCAACAUUUCCCUUACCAGUACACAUUGCAAAUCCAGCUUUGAGCAACUGUCUCCUCUAUGUCCAAAACAUCCACGGCUCUCACUGUCUGCAAGUUAGUCCGAUCUCCAAUCACUCUGGCAUUGAAGACCUCUCAAGGUUCAACAGACAAGGCUUCUAGAAUACUUAAUAUUUAGAAAACAAAGCCCGGAGAGGAUAGCUACCAACAAUACAAGCAGGAUUCAACUCCAGGCAGAGUGACUUCAGAGUUCACGCCCUCAAUCAUUAAGCAACCCCCUAAUCUUACCCACCCAGCCCAGCUUCUGUUUCUGUCAAAUGUUCCUCAGGCCCCUACCUUCCAAACUGCUCAUAUAAGACCUACUCCCAAUGCUAUCCCCAUCAUUUCUGCUAGUGCAACCUGAGAAAUGCUCCACACGCUAAUUCUGUUAAGAUUCAAGGUAUAUAUAUACCCCUACUGAGAUGCCCCCUGAAUCUUGCCACCAGCCAGAAAUUACAGCUGAUCUUCCUCAGACCCCCUAUCUUUACAAAUGGCUUCCUUUUUUUUUUUUCUUCUGGCAAUGAUUAGCUUCAGCAAAGAGUACAUGACUCUCAGUACCCCAGCAUAGGAAGGGAAUUUGGUAAUCUCUCUGGCUGGCACAGGACAUGGGGCCUAGAUCAGACCACAGUAGGUGUCUCUGGUAUAAGCGAGUUAGUGAAUGUUCUUGGUGGCUGCUCUAAUAAAACUGUCACUCAAAUGUAUACCACAAACUUCAGGCUUAUUUGCAAAUCUCUUCUCUAUCCUGUGGCUAGAGAGCUUGUUGGAACAUACAAAUCAGCCCAUCUUUCUCAUCUAACCCUGCCACAGUUUCCCAUAACUCACUCAAUAAACAACAACCAAGUCCUUUCCAUGUAUCAGCACUAAGCACCAAAAAUACAGUAAAAAUCAAAGCCACCAAAUUAUUUC